AAUCAUCAAACUUCAUCAUCAGUCAUAUAAUAGAUUCGAUCAGCUCAAGUUCAAUUGUGAUCGUCAUAAAAUUUAUUUUUCAUCAAUCAUACUACUGUGGCCAUAGACUCUCGGAUUUAGCCUCUCAAAUCUUACAGGACUACUCAUCUCUAUCAAGGUCAAUAGAUUUCAUCUAGAUGCACAUCCUACUCCUACAGUGAACUAACUGUCACCAACAUCUACU
rnacentral:lncRNA from 1 species